GAAUAUAGCUGUCAGGCAGCGGGUAUGGGGGAAUAAAGGGGGUGGGAGAGAACUCUGGGCAGAAGAACUCCUCUCCACGUGGCCUCUGUACCACUGCGUGGUGUUCUGGUAAAGUGGUGGCAGCAGUCCACAGAACUUUGCCAGCCAGGGGAGAAGCUCUUUUGAAAGGUGUCCAAUCAGCUACGCAGUCAGGACUUCCAACACAUCCUCAGAGGGGAAUUAACUUCAAACAUUAAAGUGGGACGAACUCGUG
rnacentral:lncRNA from 1 species